rnacentral:rRNA from 1 species
UGAGGGAAUAUUGGGUCAAUGGACGAGAGUCUGAACCAGCCAAGUCGCGUGAAGGAAGACGGAUCUAUGGUUUGUAAACUUCUUUAGUGCGGGAACAAAGCGGCGUCGUGACGCCGGAUGAGUGUACCGCAAGAAUAAGCAUCGGCUAACUCCGUGCCAGCAGCCGCGGUAAUACGGAGGAUGCGAGCGUUAUCCGGAUUUAUUGGGUUUAAAGGGUGCGUAGGCUGUUCUGCAAGUCAGCGGUGAAAGCCCGGGGCUCAACCCCGGAAAUGCCGUUGAUACUGCGGGGCUGGAAUACGGAUGCCGUGGGAGGAAUGAGUAGUGUAGCGGUGAAAUGCAUAGAUAUUACUCAGAACACCGAUUGCGAAGGCAUCUCACGAAUCCGUUAUUGACGCUGAGGCACGAAAGCGUGGGGAUCAAACAGGAUUAGAUACCCUGGGUAGU